UUGAAUGUUUCACUCUGAUAUGACAUUGAUACCUGAUAUACUAUAAAUUAGACAGCAUUCUAUAGACAACCAUUAAUUUGUGAUUAAGAAUCUGUAUCUAUAUAUACUUUGUUUAUCAAAAAUAUUUAAUAAAAGAGUCUGGCGGGACCAUCCUGCACCUGUACCUGUGCUGAGACAGUACUGCAGGCAAGUUAUUUGUCAGACAAGCACUAUAACUGCUAUGAAUGAAGAGAAGCAACCGGUGGCCAACCCUCCACCUACAGCACCCCCUACAGCCUACACGCCUGGACGAACCCACAGCCCCCCACAGUACGUCAAUCCACCUCAGGGAGCACCUCAGCAGCAGCGUAAAGUGAUCGUGGUCGUCACAGCUGUACCAGUUCGGCCACCAGAGGUGUGGGUUUCUCCCCGUGGUGCAGUCUCACAGCCUGAUCUGGAUCGUAUUGUCAUUAGUGGAACAGCUCGAUAUCAAAACGGCCAAUUGACGUCUACCAGCUACACCUAUGCUGACGAGCUGCCUUGCCUGACGAGAGCAAUGCUUGUGUGCAUAGUCCUUUGUUUCUUUGUUGGGUCCCCCAUUUCUCUAAUGUGCUCUAUACCUGCUUACUACUUCAUCAACAAGGCAAAUGAUAAAGCUAAUGUUCAGAAUGACAUACCAGCUGCCAGGGACUCUUAUUGUUGUUCCAAAAUCUUUUGGUUUUGCCUAUUAUUCUGGUUUGUGAUUUUCGUUGCGCUGACAUUUACACUGGGCUUACUGGGGGGUGUGGGGGUCUUCUGACGCCAUCAUCAUCAAUGUUGGACAAUGGACAAAUUCAUGUUGUGUUUAACUAAUGUUUUUGACUAGAGUAAAGUAUCAAUUAUCAGACAAUCAA